rnacentral:rRNA from 1 species
UGCGAGUCGCACGUCCUCCAACUGCGGGGGGCGUGGCGUACGGCUCAGUAACACGUAGUUAACCUGCCCUGAGGACGCGGACAACCCCGGGAAACUGGGAUUAAUCCGCGAUAGGUGAAGACUUCUGGAAUGGGUCAUCGCUGAAAGGAGCGGGCGGGCAUGUUCCGCUUGCCUGCCUCAGGAUGGGACUGCGGCCGAUCAGGUUGUUGGUGGGGUAUUGGCCCACCAAGCCUAUAACCGGUACGGGCUUUGAGAGAAGGAGCCCGGAGAUGGACCCUGAGAUAAGGGUCCAGGCCCUACGGGGCGCAGCAGGCGCGAAAACUUCGCAAUGCGCGAAAGCGCGACGAGGCUACUCUGAGUGUCGUCCGCUGAGGACGACUUUUCUUAGGUCUAAAUAGCCUAGGGAAUAAGGGGAGGGAAAGUCUGGUGUCAGCCGCCGCGGUAAUACCAGCUCCUCGAGUGGUUGGGACGAUUAUUGGGCCUAAAGCAUCCGUAGCCUGCUCUGUAGGUCUCCCGUUAAAUUCAACGGCUCAACCGUUGAGCUGCGGGAGAUACCGCAGGGCUAGGAGGCGGGAGAGGCGGACGGUACUCCGGGGGUAGGGGUAAAAUCUUUUGAUCCUCGGAAGACCACCAGUGGCGAAGGCGGUCCGCCAGAACGCGCUCGACGGUGAGGGAUGAAAGCUGGGGGAGCGAACCGGAUUAGAUACCCGGGUAGUCCCAGCUGUAAACGAUGCGAGCUAGGUGACGGGAUGGCUAUGGGCUGUCCCGGUGCCGCAGGGAAGCCGUUAAGCUCGCCGCCUGGGGAGUACGGCCGCAAGGCUGAAACUUAAAGGAAUUGGCGGGGGAGAAGGGC